UCGACCGCCCUGCUCCCUCUCUCUCUCUCUCUCUGUCUGGAUCUGGAUCUAGGUUUUCCUCCAUGAAAAUUUCACCUGAUCUAUGAAGAUUCUGACCUCUCAAUUCUGUUUUAGGGUAUCUUUGGUGUUAUUGCUACCUUCGUCAAGGGUCAUGGUUUAAGGAAUGUGUCACGUUUCUUCAGAGAUUCCAGUCGGAAUCCUAGCCGAGAUAAUGGAUACUCUAGGGUUUAUGAAGGUUUGAUGAACUAUGCUGCGUGUACCAGCGAAACACGAAGAUCCUCUUUAAAUGGAUUCCGGUAAGACGAUUAGGGUUCCGGCGUGCUGGACUGCCAUCUCUGUCAAAAAAGGUUCCUCAAAGAUAGUGGUUGUGGGUGGAAGACGAUGACACAAGCCUUGAAUCAAAUCCAUGUUUACUCGACCUCCAUAUUUUGAGGGUAAAAGUGAAGAUGACUUCUUUGACAGGACUUAAAUCAAGUUGAAGUUUGCACCAGAUAAGGGGACGCGUUUAGAUGGUUGGCUGGAAAUCCUUCCCACAAACCGGAUAUAAUGGCUCAGUGUGGCUACUAUAAACUCUUCUUGUUUUGUUUCUGUUCUAUUUAAUGGCAUUGUUCAUUGCACCCUGCAAAUGAUUGUUACAAUCUCACAUUAACAAAAACCGAAAGAGAAAAAACAGUUCAUGAAAAACUGCUUUAAUGGCUACACGACAUGUUGCACAAGCAGGACGUCCGCUAAUGAAUAUCGUCAGAAUGAAGGGGGUGCCCAUCCUACAGCAGUUGGAGAUUGAAGAAUGCCUUUUGCGGACCUCAUCUGACAACUGGUGCAUCAUAAAUGAUAGGGCGGAUAGACCCCACAUUGUCAUGGGCAUUUCUGGAAACCUGCUGAACUUGUUGAAAUUAAACGUGUUCUAGAAGAUAAUAUUCCUGUCAUACGAAGGUUUACUGGUGGCGGGACUGUAAUAGUUGAUCUAGGGACAAUAUUUGUUUCAUUCAUAUGUAACAAGGAUGAUGUUGCAGAUGUACAACCGUAUCCUCGACCCAUCAUGUCUUGGACCAGCCUAUUAUGCAGUCAGGUUUUUGAAGGAAUUGCUGAUUUCAGGCUUCGUGAGAAUGGUAUGAAAAAUUGAUUCUUAAAUCUUAAAUCUUAUUUGAAAAUAUAGUGUGCUACGUUUGUGCUUUUGGUAGUUGUUGCUUUGACAACUAUGGAAUAAUUAGAGACAUUAUGCAAAACCAUCUGCUUCAGAUAUUGGCCCUUUUUUCUAUGGAAACUCCUGUCAGUUUGGAUGCAGAAGAUAUCAGAAACGAAAAGGUUUUAUUUUUUGUUUUAGCAAGAAUGAUGACUCUGGCUGGUGGUGACCAAAAAGUGCACGAUGCUUAUUGUUAGUUCUGGUUCACUGGUGAUAAGCAUAUUGUACACUAUGCUCCAUCUAUUAUACAUUGUGCUUUAAACUCCUAAAACCAUGAUGGUUCUUUUUGAAGCGUUUAGCUCUAUCUGACACUAUUUGAUACUUUUCCAUGGUGGUGACUAGCGAGUCCCGAGUCCAGCUCGACAACAGGUGUGUGGUCUGGUGGAUUGAACAAAUGUGUGACAAUGGCGACCGAGGAGUUCUAGAGUUUCAUGAUAACAGAACAUCGGUGAUUGGCAGUGGUAUAUUGCUACCAUCAACAGCAAAGUCAAAACCUCAAAGGUGGAUCUAAGUGUCAAGGUUUCGCUCAGAAUGGCUUCCAGUCAACAGGUCAAUUAAAAAAAGGCUACAUUUGUUCGGGUCGAAACGGGUCGAUUAUUGAAUGCUAUUUUGGUUCAGCUAAAAAUGAAUGGUUUCAACUCAUUAAAAUGUCACAUUUCCAAAGCGAUCCGUAUUUUACCUGAACUAAGCGAUCCGUUUUUUACCUGAACUAAGCGAUCUGUUUUUGAAACUGGAAGUACUGUUGUUGGUGGAGGAAACAGCGUUGGAAGUUUUUUCUUUAUAUAGUUCUACCCCAUAUGACCAGCUAAAAGCUAUCAUCAUUGAUCUCUAGCAGCAACUCACUUCCCCGCCACCUUCAAAGACUGUUGCAACCAUGUCAAGGACUCUGUUGAUCAUCGACUACAGUGGACGACAAUGAAGACUGUAAUAUAAUUUUUUUUUUUCUGAUUUCAUAUCUUACAUUUUUUUUCCUAUAGGAUUCCAAUUUUCAGUUCUUAAAUAGACUUUCAACUUUUACAAGUUUUUAAUCGACUGUAGAAGUGGCAGGGUUUACCCAUUUACUUGUGAUCAAGUCAAUUUGGAUUGUUUUUUGUUUUUUUUUUUUCUCACACAUCUAAUAAAGUUCCAAG
rnacentral:lncRNA from 1 species